rnacentral:misc_RNA from 1 species
AACGCACGAGACCUGCGGACCUGCGGAGGGAUCAUUACACAAUACAAUAUGAAGGCUGUCCGCAGCUGGAGUAUUUUAUUACCCUUGUCUUUUGCGCACUUGUUGUUUCCUGGGCGGGUUCGCUCGCCACCAGGACCACCAAAUAAACCUUUUUUAUGCAGUUGCAAUCAGCGUCAGUACAAACAAUGUAAAUCAUUUACAACUUUCAACAACGGAUCUCU